rnacentral:lncRNA from 1 species
CAAUAACUAUUUUACUUUAACUUAGAAUCUAGGAAGAAAUGAAGAAAAUUUAUGAAGGGUGGCCAAACAAGGUACUAUGAUUACUAUCUACAUGUGAUUGUUAUUUUAUCUACCGCAGACUAAUCUAAUUGGAAUAAAAUUUAUAUAGGGGAUUCAAACACAGAAAAAAACUAUCUGCAUGAGUUUUUACAUUAGAGUCACAUAAUUAACUAUCUUCUGAUCAACUAAAAUAUCCAAGAAUGUUAUAUAUCUUCUGCAUUCAAUCAAAGAAAAUAUUAUAAUGAAAGAUAAUUCUAUCUUAUGUAUCCACUGUCUCUUCUCUUCUCCAAACUUAUGAUAAUAAUAGGUUAUACUAUACUAUCUUAAAAGAAUACUUAAAAUAUUUCAUAAUCUAAUCAUUAGAAUUCUCUAAAACUAACUGUCAUUCCUAAUAAU